rnacentral:lncRNA from 1 species
GGGCUGCCCUCCCUUGGUUUCCAUGGCAACCAAGGCCUGCGCAAAGACCCUCCCCUCCCUCGAGGGUGGGUUUGUUGGGGGGUUUUUUGGAGGGAAAUGGCCCCCUGAGGCGAGCCUCCACCUCCACCUUCUCCACAGCCCGCUGGCCUUUGGGCCUGAACCUCCCAUGGAUUGAUAAGGUCUUGUGGAUAUUUUCACAUAAAUUGCAGGAAGUGACUUAUGGAUCAAGGCCCUCCAACCAGCAGAAGACCAAGCAGCCUGGACAGACAUCACCCCACAGUUUGGCUUCCUGGAUUUCUCCAGAGCAAUUACGUGACACAGCCAGAGACACAUGUGUGUGCCGAGGGAGUGUGACCUGUGACCACAGACCAACAAGCAUUCCUUCUCCCCAGGGCUCUGAAGACCGUUUGGGAGGCAAUGUCAGAAGAAUGGUGGAGAGCUGAUCCAUCGGCCCUGCUCUGAGGAACGAGAUCGACCAGGUAGAAAUGAGGUUGGGGAAAACUGGCCCAUGGCCCUUGGAAUUGCUGCCUUGUCUGUUCAGAGUAAGCGGGAAAGGAUUUCUUGAGUUGCCACACGUGUUUUAAAGGGGAAGAUGAUUCUGUGCAUGUACCUUUUCUGCCUAAUCGGAUCUAUACGUAUUUUUGUAGUUGGGUGUUGGCAACCAAAUACCAAGAAAGAAGCAAUCCCUUGCUGGUCCCCAUGUGCCUUUCGGCGCACUUAUAUGUUUCUUCCUUUUGGUCCGAGAAUAUAAUGAAAGUGCCCUCACAUUGGCCAUCUUGGAAAUGCCUUAGAGGAGAGGCAGGUCAGGAACAGGAGGAGACACCCCCCACACACACACACACCAUGGUUUGUGUUGAUAGCCAAGAGAGAACAAAUCUAGUGGCCUUGGCAGUUUGAUAGGACUUUGGCCAAAAAAAAAAAAAAAAAUCCUAGUGAGAUGGGUUUUGGUUCAGUUUGGAAUUAAUGCUGGAGAAAACCAGGCAGUGAAUGAGGAAUGUAAAAGUAAAGUCUUGGAGCUUAGACUUAAAUUUCUCAUUUACACAUACUUGCAUUUAUACUAAGUUAUAGUGAUAGGUUUAGCUAAUGCAAGACAAGAGUGUGUGUGUAGAUAGAUAGAUAGAUAGAUAGAUAGAUAGAUAGA